CCCUAGCCCCGAUUGAAGAGAAAAUCCUUUUUUGAAAAAAAAGAUUGUAACGGAAAGCGGGAAAAGCU
rnacentral:sRNA from 1 species